ACCUAACCUACCUUUUAGUUGAUGUCACGAUUUAAUUAAUUAAAAAUAAGCCUUUUUUUAAAUAACAGUUUAUUAUGGCUAUGAAAAGGGCUGUUAAAGACUAAAUUUAAUUUUAUAAUGAGUGUUCGAAGUGGGCACCAUUUUCCCGCAUACAUAAAUUCACACGACGUUUCAUGUUGUUUAAAAAUGUGCUGCAAUGUCUCUUCUGUUAUUUCAUUGCAUUUCAAGAUAGCCGCAAAUCGAAAAAUCUAAUGGCGUUAGAUCUGGUGAUCGGGCUGGCCCAGAUCCUCUGCUCACUACUCGACCAGGGAAAAACUAUUCGAGGAAACCUAAAUUUUCCUGAGUAGUAUGAGCCGUAGUUCCAUCUUGUUCCAUAUUCAAAUUCGUCAGGAUGCACUUGUUCUAAAAAUGGCAUCUCAUAACGCAGAACGUAGCCCAUUGAUUGUGUUGUGAAAAAAUAUGGGCCCUAUUAUUCGACGACGUGAUACAGCUAGCCAUAUCCCACUCUUUUGUGGGUGUAAUGGAACCUGAAUGAAAUUCAGGGUUAACUACAGACCAUGUUCUAUAGUUUUGUUUGUUGACAUAUCCGUUUAAAUGAAACCAAGCUUCGUCCGUCAAGAAACUCAGAUCGAGAACGUCGUUGUUAUUUAAGUUCUGCUGGAAAAAAUUGCAAUAUUGCACACGAUUAAUGUGAUCUCUUGAAUUUUUGUAGCAGUACUGACAAACGACGUAUUGAAGAAUUUGGAUUCUCUUCAACAAGUGCUUCGACUUGAUCAAUGACAUUUUGAUCAGUUUGUGGCCUUCUAGUCAAUUUCCUCUUCAUUACGCCUCCUGUCCUGUGAAAUCUCUCCACAAUUUGGUGAAGAUGGUGGUGUUUCUUCAAUAACUUUAUCAGGAAACCUUUGUCGAAAUGGUGCUUUGCAUUCAGAAUUUGAAUACUGCCAUUCGCUGUUUACUAAGCGUCCACUUCGAAAAUAUACUUCAAUUAUAAA